rnacentral:rRNA from 1 species
AGUGAACGCUGGCGGUAGGCCUAACACAUGCAAGUCGAACGGCAGCACAGAGGAGCUUGCUCCUUGGGUGGCGAGUGGCGGACGGGUGAGGAAUACAUCGGAAUCUACUCUGUCGUGGGGGAUAACGUAGGGAAACUUACGCUAAUACCGCAUACGACCUACGGGUGAAAGCAGGGGAUCUUCGGACCUUGCGCGAUUGAAUGAGCCGAUGUCGGAUUAGCGAGUUGGCGGGGUAAAGGCCCACCAAGGCGACGAUCCGUAGCUGGUCUGAGAGGAUGAUCAGCCACACUGAAACUGAGACACGGUCCAGACUCCUACGGGAGGCAGCAGUGGGGAAUAUUGGACAAUGGGCGCAAGCCUGAUCCAGCCAUACCGCGUGGGUGAAGAAGGCCUUCGGGUUGUAAAGCCCUUUUGUUGGGAAAGAAAUCCAUCUGGUUAAUACCCGGGUGGGAUGACGGUACCCAAAGAAUAAGCACCGGCUAACUUCGUGCCAGCCGCCGCUGUAACAC